ACAUGUAAUGUUGGUGUCAAGAGGAGGGGCUGUAUAAUCAAAGACCCACAUGUAGCUUAUGGAUGUUUUGUUCAGGAAGUAGCUAGUUAGUCAGGUCUCUCAGGGAUGUCUGUCGGUUUCUCAAAGGUCUAGCAAGAUGUUUUUCUUCUCAUUUGUUCUCUUUUCAGGUUUUUUAGCAGGAAACAGUUUUGGGGAUUCAAUAAACCCUGCGACUACAGAAGAACUUGUUCCGGAGGGAAGGAAUGUCCAUCUCUUCUGCAAAUAUGAUGGCACUGUCUACAAUCUGCUGUGGUACCGCCAAUAUCCCAGAUCCAAACCAGAAUUCCUCUUGUACAUCACACCAGAGGGGUCUAUAUUUAAAGCUACUCCCCCACCUCCUCGUCUGACAGUUUCCAUUGACAAAGUGGACAAACGUGUGGAUCUGAAGAUCUCUUCUGCCGAAGUGACAGACACUUCUCUGUACUACUGUGCCAUGAAAACCACAGUGACAGAAAACUCUGACACACUGUACAAAAACCUGUCAAGAACCAUUGGAGGAAACAGACAUCCUGUAUGACAUACAUAACAUACCUACUGAAUGUUAAGGGGAGGAACUUAUGGUAGAGGAUGAUCUGAACAACAGUAUAGAAACAUAAAAACAGGAGGAAACUUUCAGAGACUGCUUAGAUCUUUCUGUCAGUUUUUCUCUGUUCAUUUUUGACUAUAUUUAGUUAAUACAAUAAAAUACAAUACAAUUCAUUGCCAUUUAAAUUCAAUUCCAUUUCAAAUACAUUUUCAUGAACAAUUGAAUGUAUCUAUAUUAAAACCAUUCUCUAUGCAUGUGUCAGUUGUGAGGACCUCAUGCUGUUACGCUGUCUUACAACUAUUCCAGAACAGCUACUGCUGGAGAUUAAUUAUAUUGGUAUCAGCAAGACUCAGCACAAAGACCAGAAUUCUUCCUCUACAUCUCAGGUUCAGAGUUUAUAAAGAAAGCAGAUCCUCUGAAUACUCUAACAUCUGUAAAACUGAAUGAAGAGAAAAAAACAUGGAUCUGGAGAUCUCUGCUGUCGUGACAGAUUCUGCUCUGUACUAAUGUUCUGUGAGGCCUACAGUGACAAGAAACCUACACACACUGUACAAAAACCUCAGCAGAGACCACAUCAGCAGGGAUGUAUCCAGUUUUUCCAACUGGUGUCUAACCCUUACUUUUAGACAUCAAAACACUAGUAAAUGCUGUUAAUGUCUCCUGUAAAUAAAGUUUAUGACUCAACUCCUUCACCUGUCCUUACAUUGAUUUGAGCAUUUACAGAUUGUGUCAAUUUGAUGUGUAUUCCUAUUCUGCUAGUCAGACCUUUUAACCACAUCAUAUACAUCAGUGGAGGUUGCAGAGGGGAGGACGGCUCAUAAUAAUGGCUGGGAAGGGGUGAAUAGAAAGGUAUCAGAUGUGGUUUCCAUGUGGUUAAUACCUUUCCAUUGACUCCAUUCCAGCCAUUACUAUGAGCCGUCCUCCCCUCAGCAGCCUCCACUGAUAUACAUACAAAAUGCAUGGUUUACAUGACAUCAUUGCUCUCAACAUGGACCUACUCUGUGGUUUGGUCCUCUGGUUGUAAAUCCAUGUACUGCUCUCUUUAGAGGAGCAUACCUGAAGCCAACUGACUGGUAACAGACAAGACAAACAUCUAAGGAUCUUACACUGUUUUGGUCUGGGUCACGAGAUACGAAAAAUAAUUCAAUUUCACAUAUCAUCAUGUCCUAAUAUUUAAUUGCUCGUGUGAUGAUUUAGUGUCCAAUAAAUGUGCACAACAUACAAUACAAUUGACAAUUAGUUAUUUAUGCAAAAAUAGACAAUACAAAUAUAACUGACCUUGUCAUUCUUAGAACUUCCUCAACAUUUCAAUAUUGUAAGCAAGUGUAAGUAGCAAGUUUAAAAAAAAAUGUUUAUCCAUAAACUGCCUUUUCUGCAGCUUUUGGCUGAUCUUCAGGUGAGGUACCUUCUUAUCCUGCAUGUGCUGCCCACUACACCUCCUGAAGGACGGGUUGAUUAGGUCCAAGUUAGCCAGGUGGCUCGUCCACUGCUUCUCACUCUUCAGCCACUACCACUGAGAUGUUCUCUCUGCCUCCUGAUCAGUUAUAUGACAGAUCUUCUUUGUCUGUCCUCCUCCUAUAGAUUGUCCUCCACAGUUAUGAAGUCCUGUGACAAGAUUGUGACAAGGUUUUUCUAUGUAUAAUAAUGAUACAAUAGUUCCAUCUAGUGUUCAACAUUCUGCCCAACAAGGUGAAACCUUGACAUUGCUAGUAUUUUCAAGGGUAAGUUAC
rnacentral:lncRNA from 8 species